rnacentral:lncRNA from 13 species
GAGGCCCUCUGUACCAAAGGGGCUACGCAGGGCCAGCCAUCAAUUCUGUCUGUGGUCAUCACUCCCUCCCUGCCUUGGACUCCUCAGAAUCUCAGCUCCCCAACCUCAAGAUGACUCAAUCCUUCCCACUGUGCUGCCUUUGUGGAAAACAUCGGAGGGAUAGAAGAAAACAAUCACACAUGCACACACAAAAUAACAAACUGCUCGUCUUCCUAGUAUGGAUCCCAUCUCAUCAUACAUAGGGUGCCAUAGCAACAUAUUUACUUUGCUAUGCAGACGCCCCCUCCAUAUGUAUUAUACCUGAGGGGAUUUACAUUAUCUAGAGAGAGAGAGAGAGAGAGAGCUGACUUCUUAAUUGUGAUACUACUUCUGGUUGUCUUGUCUCUAUUCUCUUUCUUUUGGUUUCUGAAUCUUGUCUGUCUUACAGAUGUGAAGAGCUGGGACUUGGGAGCCGCAGUAGAAAACGCCUGAAGGUAGAAGAGCACCGAACAAGGAUUAUCUGGGUGGAAACCGCCGACCUGCGAGUUGGGGAUCUUCGUGUGUGAGGAUGUCAGUGUUUUCGCCUCGCUGACCGCAAUGUGCUUCUCUGGGUAGCCCCCGGGCAGCGUUCCUCCUCUCUGAAAUCGCCACCUCCUCUUCCCCUCCCCCUCCCCUAUCCUUCCUCCUCUCCCCCUAUCCCUCCCCCAUCUCAUUUAGUCCCACCAACCACCAGCUGCUCCAUGGAUCCCCUGUGUCCGAGUAAUGGUGUGAGCCGGACACAGCCCCGCACCUCCGGCCAACUGUAGCCCCCCACCCCAGCCCCCCUCGGCCCCAUUACUUUUUUAUUUUUUUGUACUGGCUUAUUUUUUCUCACAAUCCCUGGAGUUUAUUCUUGUUUGGAACCAGGGAUGGAUGUACCAUUGGAGGCCAGCAAGCAUGGCAAGAAGACGACCAGUCAAAAGCUGGAAGACCAGAAGAAGUUCUGUUUCUCUGGAGCAGCGCAUUGCUGUCUCGCCACACAGACAAGCUUCUGUUGUGUUUGGUUGUUCACGCCAGAGAUAUGUAUACAGAGAGAGGAAGACCUCUCUCCUCAGACACACCAUCUCCAGAGAGGCCAGCUUGAAGAGCCAGUUAUACUCCUCAGGUGGGUGGAUGGGAACAACCGGCUGUGUUUCAUCUCAACUUGUGCUAGCUAAUGCAUUCUGACUGCCUCGGGGUACAAGUCUGAGAUGCAUUACAUUGAUACACUACUAACCUGUAGACAUUUUCACUCUUCAGAUGUCUGUUGGGAAUCCAUUAGAGGGCAAAUGCUCUUUUUGUCUGGCAUCCACUAACGUCAGGGACUCCACUGGUGACUGGAGCUGGACACUGGUGUGAAUAGAAUUUCCUAACCGUCUGGACAUGCAGCAGGUGCACAGAGCCUCGGCUUUUUGAGUGAAAGGUGUUUUGAUCGCACCUCCUCCUCCCCAAGCUGUUACCAUAUACGGCUCCCGUACCCAAGAGAUCGCCAUAGAGACCCCAUCGCUUCUCUUACCGUCCCCGUCGAUCCUCCCCUCCUAAUGCACAUGUUACCUGGUGGGUGUGUUACAGGCGGAGAUGUAAUGAGCUCACUCGGGGGAACCAAUGAGUGAGUUUGAAAGGCGGGAGGCUGCUUAAUAAUUCAUGGCGAUGCUUGCAUAUUAGAUUCUGAACAAUUGAAAUGGCAGACGUGUGUGGAGCCGUGCUGUAGGUAGGUUAAGUGACCUUGUGGGUUUGGAGAGGGUGAACGGCUUCCUGCUUGCAGUGUGGAAGGGGUCGUGUUCCUCUAGGGCUGCGGUGAUAUGAUAGUGGGUGAUGUAUAGUGGCUAUUACCUUUUCUGGCAUCCGCGUGUGGAUCUUGCCACUGAAACCCGGCAGCAUUUGAUCAAAGGUGGGUAGAAUUUAUGAAGUCGUGUGCGCAAGGUCGUCAAGGGUUCCUCCACUAGGCUGUGGCGUGCUGAUGACAAGCCCAAUCAAGGAUGUGAUUAUUAAAUACAGACACUAACAACCUUGGAGCGUGUGCAUGUCCUCCUUUUGUAUCUCCUGAGCCACAUGCUUGAACCCAACUGAACUCACAGCCUUAGAUCACUUCCAUUAUGGUGUUUGUUUGGGUUGUCUUGAAUCACAGGUUCCAGAGGAAACACUCUGAUUGCUGAUGACCUGUCCUUCCCACCAUCCUGCUGACCAGAUGCAGCAGGAAACCGACCACAGAGCCCAAGUCACCAGGAAAUCAAAUAAAGUACUAACUGCACUAUUUGUUUGUCUUUGAUGUGCCUGUGACGAAUGCAGAAUAUGAGCUGAGCGGAAAAGGCUGAUUUUAGCUGUGAAUAAAAACACCUGUAUUGGG